rnacentral:rRNA from 1 species
CCCUUAGAUGUUCUGGGCCGCACACGCGCUACACUGAAGGAGGCAGCGUGUACUCCUGGAUCGAAAGAUUUGGGUAACCCGCGAAUCUCCUUCGUGCUAGGGAUUGAGGUUUGCAAUUAUCCUUCAUGAACGAGGAAUUCCCAGUAAGUGCAAGUCAUAAGCUUGCGCUGACUACGUCCCUGCCCUUUGUACACACCGCCCGUCGCUACUACCGAUUGAAUGAUCCGGUGAAUAAUUCGGACUGCAGCUUUGAACAGUCCCUGUUCUCGGCUUGCGGAAAGUUUAGUGAACCUUAUCACUUAGAGGAAGGAGAAGUCGUAACA